UUUGAUGGCGACCGGCGCACGGGUGAGUAACACGUAUCCAACCUGCCGAUGACUCGGGGAUAGCCUUUCGAAAGAAAGAUUAAUACCCGAUGGCAUAGUUCUUCCGCAUGGUGGAACUAUUAAAGAAUUUCGGUCAUCGAUGGGGAUGCGUUCCAUUAGGUUGUUGGCGGGGUAACGGCCCACCAAGCCUUCGAUGGAUAGGGGUUCUGAGAGGAAGGUCCCCCACAUUGGAACUGAGACGCGGUCCAAACUCCUACGGGAGGCAGCAUG
rnacentral:rRNA from 1 species